AUUGAACGCUGGCGGCAGGCCUAACACAUGCAAGUCGAGCGGAGCGGCGGACGGGCGAGUAAUGCCUAGGUAUCUGCCUGGUCGUGGGGGAUAACGUCCGGAAACGGGCGCUAAUACAUCAUCCUCUCAGAUGAGCCUAGGUCGGAUUAGAUAGUUGGUGGGGUAAGGGCUUACCAAGGCGACGAUCCGUAACUGGUCUGAGAGGAUGAUCAGUCACACUGGAACUGAGAAACGGGCCAGACUCCUACGGGAGGCAGCAGUGGGGAAUAUUGGACAAUGGGCGAAAGCCUGAUGCAGCCAGGCCGCGUGUGUGAAGAAGGUCUUCGGAUUGUAAAGCACUUUAAGUUGGGAGGCGUUACCAACAGAAUAAGCACCGGCUAACUUCGUGCCAGCAGCCGCGGUAAUUC
rnacentral:rRNA from 1 species